rnacentral:rRNA from 1 species
AUUGAACGCUGGCGGCAGGCCUAACACAUGCAAGUCGAGCGGAUGAAGGGAGCUUGCUCCUGGAUUCAGCGGCGGACGGGUGAGUAAUGCCUAGGAAUCUGCCUGGUAGUGGGGGAUAACGUCCGGAAACGGGCGCUAAUACCGCAUACGUCCUGAGGGAGAAAGUGGGGGAUCUUCGGACCUCACGCUAUCAGAUGAGCCUAGGUCGGAUUAGCUAGUUGGUGGGGAAAGGCCUACCAAGGCGACGAUCCGUAACUGGUCUGAGAGGAUGAUCAGUCACACUGGAACUGAGACACGGUCCAGACUCCUACGGGAGGCAGCAGUGGGGAAUAUUGGACAAUGGGCGAAAGCCUGAUCCAGCCAUGCCGCGUGUGUGAAGAAGGUCUUCGGAUUGUAAAGCACUUUAAGUUGGGAGGAAGGGCAGUAAGUUAACACCUUGCUGUUUUGACGUUACCAACAGAAUAAGCACCGGCUAACUUCGUG